CACUAGUUUUACCUGACAAAAACUCACCAAAAUGAGAAUAGUGUCAUAUAACGUUAGAGGGCUAAAUUCCCCAUGGAAAACACAGAUUACUCUUACACGAACUCAAGAAAAACGCGGUAGACAUAGCUUGCAUUCAAGAAACGCACUUUAGACACCCCAUAGCCCCAUCACUUUUUACAAAACUGUACCCUAUACAGUAUCAUGACCUAUCA